ACACAUGCAAGUCGACCGAGAGACGUAAACUUGCUGGGGUAAGUAAAGUGGCGCACGGGUGAGUAACGCGUGGGUAAUCUGCCCCUGAAUCUGGGAUAACGCUGCGAAAGCGGUGCUAAUACCGGAUGACAUCGAAUUGACUUCGGUUGAUUGGAUCAAAGGUAGCCACUCCAUGGAAGCUACUGUUUGGGGAUGAGCCCGCGUACCAUUAGCUUGUUGGUAGGGUAACGGCCUACCAAGGCGACGAUGGUUAGCUGGUCUGAGAGGAUGAUCAGCCACACUGGAACUGGAACACGGUCCAGACUCCUACGGGAGGCAGCAGUGAGGAAUUUUGCGCAAUGAGGGAAACCUUGACGCAGCAACGCCGUGUGAGUGAUGAAGGCUUUCGGGUCGUAAAGCUCUGUCAAGUGGGAAGAAAUCCCGGGAAGUGAACAGUUUUUCGGGUUGACGGUACCACUGAAGGAAGCACCGGCUAACUCCGUGCCAGCAGCCGCGGUAAUACGGAGGGUGCGAGCGUUAUUCGGAAUUACUGGGCGUAAAGGGCGCGCAGGCGGUCAUGUAAGUCAGAUGUGAAAGCCCGGGGCUUAACCCUGGAAGUGCAUUUGAAACUGUGUGACUUGAGUAUGGGAGAGGGAAGCGGAAUUCCUGGUGUAGCGGUGAAAUGCGUAGAUAUCAGGAGGAACACCCGUGGCGAAGGCGGCUUCCUGGACCAAUACUGACGCUGAGGCGCGAAGGCGUGGGGAGCAAACAGGAUUAGAUACCCUGGUAGUCCACGCAGUAAAACGGUGAUCACUAGGU
rnacentral:rRNA from 1 species